CCUACGGGUGGCAGCAGUGAGGAAUAUUGGUCAAUGGGCGGGAGGCUGAACCAGCCAAGCCGCGUGAGGGAAGAUGGUACAGCGUAUCGUAAACUUCUUUUUGCAGGGAACAUAGGCGGGGACUAGUCCCCGGAUGAGGGUACCUGAUGAUAAAGCAUCGGCUAACUCCGUGCCAGCAGCCCCGUUAAUAGGGAGUAUGCGAGGGUUAUCGGGUUUUAUUGGGUUUAAAGGGUGCGCAGGCGGCCGGUUAAGUCAGCGGUAAAAGCCCGGGGCUCAACCCCGGCGAGCCGUUGAAACUGGCGGGCUGGAGUUGGAGAGAAGUACGCGGAAUGCGCGGUGUAGCGGUGAAAUGCUUAGAUAUCGCGCAGAACCCCGAUUGCGAAGGCAGCGCACCGGCUCCACACUGACGCUGAGGCACGAAAGCGUGGGUAUCGAACAGGAUUAGAUACCCCUGUAGUC
rnacentral:rRNA from 1 species